GCGAGGCUGCGUCGCGCGUCAGGAGCCAUAUAUCCCCGGGGCCUUAUCGAUCCUUUAGGGAACUGUCCCUGGCCAGGUCCGUGGACCUGGACACACGGUGCCCACCUACUUUCGUAGGUGCUCCGGGAUCGCGUGCUUCAACGGCCACCGUGGCUUCGCA
rnacentral:other from 1 species